rnacentral:rRNA from 1 species
UACAGAGGUCUCAAGCGUUGUUCGGAUUCAUUGGGCGUAAAGGGUGCGUAGGUGGCGCUGUAAGUCGGGUGUGAAAUUUCGGAGCUUAACUCCGAAACUGCAUUCGAUACUGCGGUGCUUGAGAACUGGAGAGGAGACUGGAAUUCAUGGUGUAGCAGUGAAAUGCGUAGAGAUCAUGAGGAAGACCAGUGGCGAAGGCGGGUCUCUGGACAGUUCCUGACACUGAGGCACGAAGGCCAGGGGAGCAAACGGGG